UACGAAGGGGGCUAGCGUUGCUCGGAAUCACUGGGCGUAAAGGGUGCGUAGGCGGGUCUUUAAGUCAGGGGUGAAAUCCUGGAGCUCAACUCCAGAACUGCCUUUGAUACUGAAGAUCUUGAGUCCUGAAGAGGAGAGCGGAAUUCCCGGUGUAGAGGUGAAAUUCGUAGAUAUCGGGAGGAACACCAGUGGCGAAGGCGGCUCUCUGGACAGGUACUGACGCUGAGACGCGAAAGCGUGGGUAGCAAACAGG
rnacentral:rRNA from 1 species